GCUCAGAUCGCAUAAUUUGGUAUUGCGCUGGACUGCUAAUCCAGUUUCCUUUUGGAUAUCUGGGUUCAAAUCCCAGUCUGAGCG
rnacentral:tRNA from 1 species